GCUGUGUCUGUGCGAGGAUCCGGGGUAAGACGGGAGGUGCAAGGGUUAUCCGGAGUUAAUGGUAUUCAAGGUGGCGCAGGCGGAUAUAAAAUGCAGUGGUGAAAGCGUUCGGCUGAAACUGAAAAUUGCCAUUGAUACUAUAUAUCUUGAAUACUAUGUAGGUUUGCGGAAUAGGUCUUGUAGCGGUGAAAUGCGUAGUUAUAACUUGGAACACCUAUUGCGAAGGCAGCAGGCUACGCAGUUAUUGACGCUCAUGCACUAAAGCGUGGGUAGCGAACAGAAUUAGAUACCCCGGUAGUC
rnacentral:rRNA from 1 species